AGGCUUUGAUCCUGGCUCAGGAUGAACGCUAGCGGCAGGCUUAAUACAUGCAAGUCGAGGGGCAUCGCAGGUAGCAAUACUGGGUGGCGACCGGCAAACGGGUGCGGAACACGUACACAACCUUCCUUUCGGUGGGGGAUAGCCUUUGGAAACGAAGAUUAAUACCCCAUAAUACAGGGGCACUGCAUGGUGAUAUUGUUAAAGAUUUAUCGCCGGAAGAUGGGUGUGCGUAUGAUUAGGUAGUUGGUAGGGUAACGGCCUACCAAGCCAACGAUCAUUAACUGGUGUGAGAGCACGACCAGUCACACGGGCACUGAGACACGGGCCCGACUCCUACGGGAGGCAGCAGUAAGGAAUAUUGGUCAAUGGACGGAAGUCUGAACCAGCCAUGCCGCGUGGAGGAUGAAGGUCCUCUGGAUUGUAAACUUCUUUUAUAGGAGGCGAAAAAGGGCCAUUCCUGGUCAACUGACGGUACCUUAUGUAAUAAGCACCGGCUA
rnacentral:rRNA from 1 species